rnacentral:rRNA from 1 species
AACGAACGCUGGCGGCAUGCCUAACACAUGCAAGUCGAACGAGACCUUCGGGUCUAGUGGCGCACGGGUGCGUAACGCGUGGGAACCUGCCCUUAGGUUCGGAAUAACUCCCCGAAAGGGGUGGUAAUACCGGAUAAUGUCUUCGGACCAAAGAUUUAUCGCCUAUGGAUGGGCCCGCGUUGGAUUAGGUAGUUGGUAGGGUAAAGGCCUACCAAGGCGACGAUCCAUAGCUGGUCUGAGAGGAUGAUCAGCCACACUGGGACUGAGACACGGCCCAGACUCAUACGGGAGGCAGCAGUGGGGAAUGGUAGACAAUGGGGGAAAGCUUGAUCUAGCCAUGCCGCGUGAGAGAUGAAGGCAUGAGGGUUGUAAAGCUCUUUCAGCUGGGAAGAUAAUGACGGUACCAGCAGAAGAAGCCCCGGCUAACUCCGUG